CAUUGGCAGGUGGAUUCUUAACCACUGCGCCCCCAGGGAAGUCCCAGCAUUCAUUAUUAAUUCACAAAAUGAAAAAAAAAAAAGUUUAGGAAUCAUAAGUAAUUUACUUGUAAUUGGAAGUCACUUUUCUACCAUAGGAAAGCAUUUUAAAAUUUGUCGCCCUGAACUAUAAUUUUAAUGAAAGUGAAUAAAACCUUUCCGCAAACCACAGAAAAUGAAUUUUCAUAAUUAUGUUUAUAAGUAAAAUAGUCAGUUGUAUUCAAGUUUAUACUUUUUUACUCCAUCUCAAGUUGGAGGGUAUUUUCUGAAAUGAGCAGUCAUAUGAAAUGCUAUAAAUGUUUUGGGCUUAUUUAUUUAUUUUAAAUAUUUAUUUUUUUGUCUGCAUUGGGUCUUAGUCGCAGUAGGCGGGAUUUUCGUUGCGGCCCGCUGGCUCUUUGUUGUGGCAUGCGGUCUUCUCUCUAGUUGUGGCGUGUGGGUUUACUCUCUCUAGUUGUGGCGCAGGGGUUCCAGGCCGCGUGGGCUCUGUAGUUUGCUGCAAGCGGGCUCUCUCUUGAGGCGUGCGAUCUCAGUAGUUGUGGCGCAUGGGCUUAGUUGCACCGCGGCAUGUGGGAUUGUUUUGGGCUAAUUUAAUCAGAACCUUAAGAAUUUUCAGGUCCAACGCAAACUUAAUUAAGCUUUUAUUGCUUUUCUUUUUCAAUCAGUUAAAAUAGGAGUUCAAUUGCUUUCGGGAUAUCACAGCCUUUUCAUAUUUCAAAAUUAUUUAGCAACACUCAAAAACAGAUCUAAAAAACAUUUCCUUGCAGUGUAAAAUGCACACCUGAGAACUGUGGCGCCUCACACCUGUGGAUAUGCUGAGACCAGUCCUGUUCGGCGGCUGGGGCCUCAGGGUCCGACUUCACAUGGGGGAACAUUUCCACGGUGACCUCGGCCCUUGCCGUGUCCCACCUUUUCUCAUCUUCACUCCGGAUAUGGAGCGAUCCGCGGGGAAACUGAGUCUGGACUUCCAGGUGCAGGAGGAGGACACAGGCGAGCCGCCCAGGUUGCAAGGCCGCAGUGAGGACGCUUCAGAGAACCCGGAAGCAGUCGGAGAUGGAGUGUAAGCUCAGGAGUCCUAGGAAUUGAGUCUGGUUCCCAACUGCCAGCCUCGCCAUCCUCCCACACACGGGGGUGAAGAGGGAGCCUUGCUGACAUGGAACCUGUGGCUGUUUCAGGACUCGGUGGGCUUUGAGGAUGUGGCUGUGAACUUCACUGUGGAGGAGUGGGCUUUGCUGGGCCCGGCUCAGAGGAACCUCUGCAGAGACGUGAUGCUGGAGACCUUCAGGAACCUGGCUUCUGUGGUAUGCGGGCCUCUCACUGUUGUGGUUUCUCCCGUUGUGGAGCACAGGC